UUUGUCGACAGUUGAAGAGAUUAGUCAAUGACCGACACAAUGUCGUCGACAAGAUCACUAAA
rnacentral:sRNA from 1 species